GUUGCGGCGAUGAUGAGGAGAGUAAAUCGUCUUGCGUUCUCCAGGGAGGCGCACCAGGACUGGAAGUGUGCUGAAUGCGAGCGAUUGAAGUUCACCUUGGAGCUGUGAGGCUGAACGUUAUGGUGGCUGGGAUCGCCAUAUUUCAGUAGGCCUCACCGGAUCGAAACGCCCUUUGGAUUGUACACCGGGAAGAUCCGUUAUGGAAAUGAAGGCGGACGGCACUUUGCCGUCAAUUAGGGUGGUAUCGCGAGCAACUCGUCCCUAGC
rnacentral:ncRNA from 1 species